UGGGGAAUUUUGGACAAUGGGCGAAAGCCUGAUCCAGCCAUGCCGCGUGAGUGAAGAAGGCCUUCGGGUUGCAAAGCUCUUUUAGUCGGAAAGAAAGAGUCGCAAUGAAUAAUUGUGAUUUAUGACGGUACCGACAGAAAAAGCACAGGCUAACUACGUGCCAGCAGCCGCGGUAAUACGUAGGGUGCGAGCGUUAAUCGGAAUUACUGGGCGUAAAGGGUGCGCAGGCGGUCUUGCAAGUCAGAUGUGAAAGCCCCGGGCUUAACCUGGGAAUUGCGUUUGAAACUACAAGGCUAGAGUGCAGCAGAGGGGAGUGGAAUUCCAUGUGUAGCAGUGAAAUGCGUAGAGAUGUGGAAGAACACCGAUGGCGAAGGCAGCUCCCUGGGUUGACACUGACGCUCAUGCACGAAGGCGUGGGGAGCGAACA
rnacentral:rRNA from 1 species